AGUUUCUCCGUUAGAGUAGGUAGCCGUGGGUAGCCGCCGCGAUCGUGCGUAUCGGCCGCGCUCUUGCUCGCGAUCGCACGGACCUCCGCUGGGCUCGAGCACAGCAUCGAGUUGGUAUCCCGGCGAUCGUAGCCACCCGUGGUGAGCCACGUCUGGUACCUGGUGAGGCUCGUCGUCGUGAUCCGCCCCGUCGUGGGAGCGAGCGAGCGAGCGAGCUCCGUGACGGUCGCGAGAGCGUUGCGUCGGGCCGGGUUUAUUGUGUCAGCCAGAUCGGGCCACUUAACGGCCGCCAUCUUGCUGCGCUGCGAAGGUAGAAAAGGGGCUUGUGACAGGCCUGUCGCAGUCAGUCGCGCGGAAGGAGCGAGGGACGAGGGACGGGGACGGUCGAGUCGGAGAGAGACAUACGAGGAGAGCGGUUCCUUCAUGCGGUACGCGCACUCAUCCUGUCGUCUGUGCGCUUCAGUUCACGAGCAAUCGUCAAGAGUGUUCGAGGAACGACCGAAUAAAGUAGCCUGAGGGGAAAAAGAAGACAGGGUAUCCGUCGCGCUGAUACACCUACCUCCAGGAAGGCAGCAGGCGCGCACACAUACACACGUACACACGUAUUCACCCACGCGCGCACGCACGCACGCACGCACCACCGUCGCCGCCGCCGCCGCCGCCGCCUCCUUCUUUCGCGAUGGCCAUGGAGACGCCGAGGGAGCGUGAGAUCGCCGCCGAGGAUAGCAUCAAGGUGGUCUGCAGGUUUCGGCCGCUCAACGACUCCGAGGAGAAGGCCGGUUCCAAAUUCAUCGUCAAGUUCCCGUCCGGUGCGGAGGACAAUUGCAUUUCCAUCGGGGGAAAAGUAUAUCUUUUUGAUAAAGUAUUUAAGCCAAAUGCUACCCAAGACAAAGUAUAUAAUGAGGCAGCCAAGUCUAUUGUCACAGAUGUCCUCGCAGGAUAUAAUGGAACUAUCUUUGCGUAUGGUCAAACAUCUUCAGGUAAAACGCACACGAUGGAGGGAGUCAUUGGUGAUCCCAACAAGCAGGGCAUUAUCCCCAGAAUUGUCAAUGACAUUUUCAAUCACAUUUAUGGCAUGGAAGAGAACUUAGAGUUCCAUAUUAAAGUGUCAUACUUUGAAAUUUAUAUGGACAAGAUCCGGGAUCUUCUUGAUGUAUCCAAGGUUAACUUAAGUGUGCAUGAAGACAAGAAUCGUGUACCAUUUGUGAAGGGUGCAACUGAGCGGUUCGUUUCUAGUCCUGAGGAAGUGUUCGAGGUGAUAGAAGAAGGUAAAUCGAAUCGGCAUAUCGCCGUGACCAAUAUGAACGAACAUAGUUCGCGUUCCCAUUCCGUGUUUCUCAUUAACGUUAAACAAGAGAAUCUGGAGAAUCAGAAGAAGCUUUCUGGCAAAUUGUAUCUUGUCGAUUUAGCCGGCUCAGAAAAGGUUUCUAAAACUGGUGCUGAAGGAACGGUGCUCGACGAGGCGAAGAACAUUAACAAGUCUUUGUCGGCGCUCGGUAACGUAAUUUCAGCUCUGGCUGACGGCAAUAAAACUCACAUUCCUUACCGUGACUCUAAGUUGACGAGAAUACUGCAGGAAUCGUUGGGUGGUAACGCCAGGACUACGAUUAUCAUCUGUUGCUCUCCCGCUAGCUUCAACGAGUCUGAAACAAAGUCAACUUUAGAUUUCGGUAAACGCGCUAAGACCAUCAAGAACGUCGUAUGCGUGAAUGAGGAAUUAACGGCCGAAGAAUGGAAACGUCGCUACGAGCGCGAGAAAGAGAAGGCAGCGAAAUGGAAAGCCAAGGUGGACAAAUUGGAGGCAGAGUUGUCGCGUUGGCGGCAGGGUGAGACCGUCAAGCCUGAGGAGCAAGUUAACCUGAUCGAAGGACCGGAGGUUACCACACCAAUCAACGUCUCCAUAGAAGGUAAACUGGAUGACAGUCCAAUGCCAGCGACACCCGGUGGCGGCCUUAUGGCUGGUUCUCUUUCGAACGAGGAAAGACAGAAACUCGAGGAAGAACGUGAAAGAUUGUACCAACAAUUGGACGACAAAGAUGAAGAAAUCAAUCAGCAAUCGCAAUAUGUCGAGAAGCUGAAGGAGCAGAUGGAGGAACAGGAAGAGCUUAUCGCUAGCGCAAGGCGAGAUUAUGAGCAAUUACAGCAGGAGAUGAACCGAAUACAGCAAGAGAACGAGAGCGCUAAAGAGGAGGUGAAGGAGGUGCUACAAGCGUUGGAGGAGCUUGCGGUCAAUUACGACCAAAAGUCACAGGAGGUCGAGCUGAAGAACAAAGAACAAGAAACCAUGACGGAGGAGCUCCUGGCUAAGCAAGUAGCUCUCAACAAUACCGCGUCCGAGCUGCAGCAGUUGCGCGACAUGUCUGCACACCAGAGGAAGCGCAUCGCGGAGAUGCUUGCCAACUUCCUGAAAGACUUGGGGGAGAUCGGUGUGGCUAUCGGUGGCGACGAGAAUCUGAAAGUUGCACCAGAGAGCAAUGGCAAACUCGAGGAGGAGUUCACAGUGGCGCGGCUAUUUAUCAGCAAAAUGAAGUCUGAAGUAAAGAACUUGGUUCAGCGGUGUCAAGGAUUAGAAAGCUUUCAAGUAGACUGUAACAAGAAAGUUUCCGAAUACGAGAAGGACUUGGCCGAGUGCCGACUGUUGAUUUCUCAACAUGAGGCUCGUAUGCAAACGCUGACGGAAUCGAUGAAGGAAGCCGAGACGCGUAAGCGAGCCUUGGAAGAGGAUGUGGACGCAUUGCGUGAGGAAUGUGCGAAAUUGAAGGCCGCCGAGCAAGUGCAGGCGGUCACCAACAAAGAGAAGGCCGAGGAGAAGGAAGCGGCGACAAAAAUGCGAGUUGCACUCGAGGAACAGAUGGAUCAGCUGAGAGAUGCGCAUCAGAAACAGGUGGCCGCGCUUCGAGACGAACUAUCCGAGAAGCAGGAACUCAUCAGCGAACUGAAGGACCUGAAUCAGAAAUUCACUCUGGCGCACCAGCAGAUGCAGGCCGACUACGAGCGGCUGAAGCAAGAGGAGGCUAACAAAUCCGUCAAAUUGCAGGAACUCAUGCUGUUAAAUGAACGUCGGGAACAAGCAAGAAAGGAUCUCAAAGGAUUGGAGGAUACAGUAGCCAAAGAACUUCAGACCCUGCACAAUCUACGCAAGUUAUUCGUUCAAGACUUACAAGCUAGAAUAAAGAAGACCAUUAACGCAGAAGACAACGAAGACGAUGGCGGCUCACUUGCGCAGAAACAGAAGAUAUCCUUCUUGGAGAACAACCUGGACCAACUAACAAAGGUGCACAAGCAACUGGUUAGGGAUAAUGCCGAUCUUCGUUGCGAGCUACCCAAGUUGGAAAAAAGACUGCGGGCAACGAUGGAGCGCGUUAAGGCCCUGGAGACAGCAUUGCGCGAUGCCAAAGAGGGAGCAAUGCGAGAUCGUAAGCGCUACCAGUACGAGGUAGACAGAAUCAAGGAGGCUGUUAGGCAAAAGAAUCUGGCGCGUCGCGGACCGAGCGCGCAGAUUGCGAAACCAAUUCGCGCCGGUCAGCAUCAUUUGAGCACUGUCAACGCCAUCCGAACCGGCAAUCGUGAUUCAAUUAAUUAAAAACACCUACAUUGCGUCGUGGGUUUGUUCGAUUUUGUACAAAUGAUGUCGCCGCAGGCAGCUCUGCGCUUUAGAAUAUGGGUAACAGCGUACAGUGAUCGUGAGCAUAAUGCCAAAACCCUUCACUUUUACAGAAAACGAAUGCAAGAACGCUUUCAUCGACGAAAACAAAAGAAUUCCAGCGGCUCUUAUGUAUAAUGGAUAUGCAUAAAUGUGUUAUAAUUAUUAAGAUAAGGGCAAUAGUACUACAUCCGCAAGGAGAGCACCGCCAGUUCUUUUAAUUAAUUUUUUUUUCUUUUUUUUUUCGGAGCAAGCAUGUGCUUAGGUAUACAUUCGUACGAGAUAAGUGCAUUAAGUUAUAUAUGUAUAUAUAUAUAUAUACACACAUGUAUGUGUAUAUAUAUGUACAUAUAUAUGUGUAUACAUAUACACCAGCGCUGCAUGUCCCGUCGAUUUGUAAAUAGUUAAUUUUUAUAAAUUAUUUAAUUUAUAAUGUCAUGCAUGAUUCGAUAAUAAAGUGGAUGUCUAAUCGAACGACCGAUUACUCGGAGAAAGAGCCUCUCGUCUCACUCGGAAUAUUUAUGCAUAUUUCGCGCAGUGUUUGUCCCUAUUUAAAUCAUGUCCGUGUCUCAGCUUGACGUUUAAGAGUAAUAAUAGUAAAAAUGAGAAAAAAAGCUUGCCGCAAUCAUUAUUGAUCGAAUUCAUAGCGAGAAACUUCAAUCAGUAAGUAAAGACGAAAGAGGCGAAAAAUACUUAAUAGAAAACGUGUUCACACACACACACACACACACAGCGAGUUUGCACCAAACGAUGAUCAAGAGAACACGAUCGGACAUGCGGCUGUGUGCGAGUAUAAGAAUGAUUGUGGCUUACAAGUAUUCGUAAUCAUAAGAAAUCCGUUCCCCCUCCCCCGCCCUUUGACCCCGUAACUGAUAAGAAUUUUGCAACGCACGGCGUUCUUUCGGCACCAACCUCGCUGGAGGGCACGCUUGAUCGCCAUCAAGCGUAGAAUUGUCUCUCUAUAGCGUCUUUCGUGGAUCCACGUGCCGCCGUGCGUACAAUUUAGGAUGAGAAAAUUUUUUAGAACAUAUAUAUUCCGGCAGGAGGAACGCUAAUUUAUAUCACGACUGUCCCCCGCCUCCCUGUCGUCCCCUUUAAUUUACUCUUUAACUCUUAGCCUUCGUAACUGUAAUUUGCGCUGUCUCGUAGCGUCUUAACUUAAUUUAUUAUCGAUUCGCGCGUGUCAGAGGCUUACUUUCUCUCGCGUUAGGCUUGCGAAGCGCACAGAGCGACAACGUGAAGUCUUUUCGGUCUUUUGGUGCAUUUGUUUCUUUUGAAGUUUCUUUUUUCUCGCCUCGGGUGUGAGUGUGAGUAACGAACGGAUAGCUUAAUUAGAGUGAUGUGAUCGACUGUAUGUGCGUGUGUUUGCGCGCGUGUGAAUGUGUGUUCGUGAGUGAGAGUGAGAGAGAGAGAGAGAGAGUGUGUGUGUGUGUGUGUGUGUGUGUGAAUAUGUAUGUAUGUAUGGAGCUCCCGCUCGGCAGUUACCUGCAUGUCUGGUUGUGAAAAGCCGAUGAUGCACGGGUUCGCUUAUCAUGUUCCUAAGAGAAAAGAAAAAGAUAAGAGAAAAGAAAGCCCCCGCUGUCGAGAGCUGUCAGAAUUUCGCUUACAUGUGGCGUCGUCGUUAACCCCCUUCUUUUUUUUUUUUAGAUCUUCUUUUCUCUUGCGGAGUCUGAUUUUUUCGGAUUCUCUCGCGUAUACACAUUUAUACAUUGCGUUAUUCUCUCUCUUUUUUUCUCUAUCUAUCUUUUUCUCUCUUUUGACGCUCUUUUUCGAGUCGUUUAUACACAUAAAGAUAUAAAAAUACAAAUGUCAUUUGUACAUUUAAUUUUUAAGGCUUGUCUAGAGUAUGAGAGCUCGAUAGUCUUAUCGUUUGUUUAAUCGAGAUAAGAUAAAUUGCCCGAUCCGCCGGGCAAGGGUUAAUGAUGGCCUUCACACUCGUGCAUUUUAGUGUAACGCGGUAUUCUAUGUUUUUAUAAUCUCGCGUCUAUCAUUGUUAUUCCGCGAUCGCUUUUCUACCAAGGGAGUGUCUUCGAGACACUCGUUCACGCAACAAUUAUAAUUAUCGAUAAUUAUCGCAUAUACUCGAUGCAAUUUCUCUCGGGAACCACGUUUUUCUAGAAACGAUACGUUGACUCGACACGUGGGAAGUUUCGCGGCUUAAUGAAAGAAACAAAUACCUGUGUAUCCGACGAUAGAUUUAGUUGCGCUUAGAAUCUCUCUCGCGAGUGCGCGUCAAGAGCGAGCAGUUGAGAACACACACAUACACGUCGAGGAGACCGAUCGCGAGAAGGUAUCCGAAGUACUUUUAACUAACUAUUACUACUUCGUUUUUUUUUGCUACCUUCCGUUUCUCCUCUUUUGACUCUCUUUUGUGAUAUAUAUAUAUAUAUAUAUAUAUAUAUUGUAAACAUAUAUCGAGGGUGCGCGCGCGAAGAAGAAGGGAGAAGUUGCGUUUUUGCUCAUACGUAAGCAGAGACAAGUAAAAGUGUGUGGUGCAUAACGAGUGCAAUUAUCGUUAAACUAUUUUUGUCUCGGGUGUAUGUAAAUAUAUAUAUGUAUGCGUAAAUACAUUGUACCGUGCGUAAUGCAGUUGCGUUAGUUUCGUGGUGAACGUUUAAUCCGUCGUAAAGAGAAUCCCCCCGCGCCGCCUCCGUCGCUGCCGCCGCCGCCGCCGCCGCCUCCUCCGCAAAAGGUUACUUAGUGUCGUGCGUUUCGCCGUGAAGACUUGUUUAUUCUCAUAUCGCACAUAGAUUAACACGCGCAUUUAAACAGCGUUACGAUGUUUCUCUAUUUCUCUCCUCAAUCUUUUGGCGACGUCUUACGACGAACGAGCGCGCGUCUCCUUUAGAACGCUGAAUGUAUUUUCGAAUCGUGUUGCGCUAAGAAAACAACGCUAACGACGUGCUACUGUAUUACUAUAAUCCAUCGUGCUACGUUUCUUCUCGUCAUGGCUCUCGAGCGCUUUUUUCCAGUAAUUAAAAAAGAAAAAAUAAAAUCAAGUCGAAUGGAGAAAUUGAUAAUAUUGUCGGCUUCUGAUGAGCUGUUUCCGGAUAAUCAGUUCCGAUCCCGGAGAUCGGCAUUCUCUCCUUCCCGCUUCUGUACACCCUCUUGCGAUGAAUCACGAAAUUGCCGUUUGAAAGACCGCAGCCGACGUGUUUCGUGUUGCAGAUCGCGCGCCGCACGAUCGGGCUUAUCCAAUGAUACAUUUUAUUAUAUUGUAUAACGCGCUAUGUAUGUUUGAGCGUUAGUUGGCCGACGGAUUUGACAGGCGUGGAACGAGGAAAGAGACAGAGCUGUUAGUAAUAUUAUUUUCGUAAUGUCUUCGCCGUGUCUGAAAUUACAUUAUUAUACAGUCAAAGUAGACGAGUUAUAACGAUACGUGCGCACCAGCCAGUCACUGUUGAAGAGGAGGUUGAUCUACAAUCGUAGCCUUUCUUGCGUCGACCUUGUGCGAGACGAACGAAUUGUUUCUUGUUUUGUUAUUCUUCAAAAAGCAAAAACGAAAAUAGAAAUGAGAAGUGUGCCGUCGAACGGACGAGCCCGUUUUGUCGUGAAAUAAUUCGGAAGAUCUCGGCCAACGUUAACCGUUGCUUUCCGUACAAUAUAAAAACGAACGAGCGUGAAGUCGCAACGGCGAUUCCGCGUGGACGAGCCGUUUUGUGCGUGUACGACGAAAUCGUCGCACACAUCUCGCUGCAUGACAUCAACAGAAAACAGAAAAAUAUUCGAUCGCCGCAGGUUUCCCUUUAUGAUCUUAAUCGAAUUCAGAUCUACCUCAUCUGAAACAGCAAGUAGUACGAGAUAGAAGGAAAAGAAAACCGAUUAUAGCGAUUCUAAACAUUUUUCCUAGAAUUUAGACGGUAGAUUUAUAUGCAGGGUGUAGAGAGGCUGUAGCUAACAAGGUACUAUAAAUUGUAAUACAAUAUUCUCCCCUCGAAUUAAAACUGUAAUUUUAAGAUAAUUAUCGUUAAUAAUUGUAUGCGAUUGUCGCGAGAGAAGACGACGAUGCUUAUAUACAUUAAUGGAAGAAGAGAAAACCCAAGAAAAAGAAAAAUGACACACACUAAA